GAAUGUUUAAGACUAAGUAUAUUAUUUCAUAUCACAAAAGCAAUCUCAACUAAAUUGUAUGUAAACAAGAUUUCAAACUUCAAAUUUACAUACAGGUAUCAACAAAUUUAAUCAGAGUUCUUGAAAAGUAGAGGUACAAAGGUUUUGAUGACCAAAUUUUGGAAGGACACACAGUUUGGGUAUUUUGCAAUAGAAAUAAAAGUGACCAGCAGAAUUCUUCAAGGACCACCAGGGGUAAAAAAGGGUUCCAAGAGCUCUAAUUAAAUUAGAUAACAUAUUAAAAGAUAAGCACAAAACACAAGUUGAAUCUAAAAUAUAUCAUUCAUUUUAACAAUGGAUUUAAAUUGUUUCGCAAAUUUCCUGUUUGCCAAGGUCGGAUUUAUUGAAAGGACAAGUUGCAGUUUGCAUUUUUUUUCUCUAAAGCUUAACUACUUCAUGUACAAAGAUAAUGGAGAAAGUAAAUAUUUUCUAAUUUGAUAAAUCCCAUACUGUCCAAUGGUACUGCUUUAUAUAAAUUGUCUGAAAUCCUUAACUACCGUUGGGUCUGAUAAAUAUAAAAAAAAAGAAGAUUUGGUAUGAUUGCCAUUGAGACAAAUGUCCACAAGAGAUCAAAUGAACAGUAAUUAACAGCUAUCGGAAAGAAUAGGUCACCAUACAGCCUUCAACAAUGAGUAGAGCCCAUACUGUAAUUGGUACCAUUGAAAGUCUAUUUCAAGGGUGCCAAUUUUCAUGGAUGAGGGAAAAAAUGUAACUAUUUGAAGUAUAAUUGAUUUCAUGGAUUAGUCAAAGUUGGCAUAUAUUUGUUUAGGGGCCAGCUGAAGGACGCCUCCAUGUGCGGGAAUUUCUCGCUGCAUUGAAGACCUGUUGGUGACCUUCUGCUGUUUUCUUCUCUAUGGUCGGGUUGUUGUCUCUUUGACACAUUCCCCAUUUCCAUUCUCAAUUUUAUAACAACCUAUAGAAAGUUUGUACAAUAUUAAACAUUCAAAUUUGUAGUUCACCUUUACGCAUAAAAUCUACAAAACUUGGUAUCCAAAGUAGGACAGGACAACUGUAAACAUAAUGACAUAUCAAAAGAAAAUUCCACAACAUUAGCAAAAUUGGUCCGCCAUAAAUCAAAUAACUAACACAGUAAUCAAUACAAUAAUAUAAUGAAUAGACAUUUAGAUUCUUACAUUGAUAGGAGUGGAUUAUCGGAUUUAUCCAAUCGAGAUAGUUAAAUUAUCAAUUUAGCUCGGACUUAAAAA
rnacentral:lncRNA from 1 species